GCCUGGGUGGCUCAGUCGGUUGAGUGUCCGACUUCGGCUCAGGUCAUGAUCUCAUGGCUUGUGGGUUCGAGCCCCAUGUUGGGCU
rnacentral:tRNA from 1 species